GACGAACGCUGGCGGCGUGCCUAAUACAUGCAAGUCGAGCGGACUUGAUGAGAAGCUUGCUUCUCUGAGAGUUAGCGGCGGACGGGUGGGUAACACGUAGGCAACCUGCCUGUAAGACUGGGAUAACUACCGGAAACGGUAGCUAAUACCGGAUAGGUGAUUUUCUCGCAUGAGGAAGUCAAGAAAGACGGAGUAAUCUGUCACUUACGGAUGGGCCUGCGGCGCAUUAGCUAGUUGGUGAGGUAAUGGCUUACCAAGGCGACGAUGCGUAGCCGACCUGAGAGGGUGAACGGCCACACUGGGACUGAGACACGGCCCAGACUCCUACGGGAGGCAGCAGUAGGGAAUCUUCCGCAAUGGACGAAAGUCUGACGGAGCAACGCCGCGUGAGUGAUGAAGGUUUUCGGAUCGUAAAGCUCUGUUGCCAGGGAAGAACGUCUUAGAGAGUAACUGCUCUAAGAGUGACGGUACCUGAGAAGAAAGCCCCGGCUAACUACGUGCCAGCCGCCGCCGUAA
rnacentral:rRNA from 1 species